rnacentral:rRNA from 1 species
UGGGGAAUAUUGGACAAUGGGGGCAACCCUGAUCCAGCAAUUCUGUGUGCACGAAGAAGGUUUUCGGAUUGUAAAGUGCUUUCAGCAGGGAACAAUAAAGUGACGGUACCUGCAGAAGAAGCGACGGCUAAAUACGUGCCAGCAGCCGCGGUAAUACGUAUGUCGCAAGCGUUAUCCGGAAUUAUUGGGCAUAAGGGGCAUCUAGGCGACCCUGUAAGUCUAGGGUGAAAACCUGCGGCUCAACCGCAGGCCUGCCCCGGAAACUACAGGGCUAGAGUAUCGGAGAGGUGGACGGAACUGCACGAGUAAAGGUGAAAUUCGUACAUCUGUGCAGGAAUGCCGAUGAUGAAUAUAGUUCACUGGACGGUAACUGACGCUGAAGUGCGAAAGCUAGGGGAGCAAACAGGAUUAGAUACCCUGGUAGUCCUAGCUGUAAACGAUGAUUACUGGGUGUGGGCAUGAAGAGUGUCCGUGCCAAAUCAAAUGCGAUAAGUAAUCCGCCUGGCGAGUACGGCCGCUAGGCUG